ACGCUGCACACGCAUGCACACGGCCCAUGCACGCUGCACACGCAUGCAGAAAGCAUGGGGCGCGCAGGGAGGAGCAGCCAUCACUUUAAAGACAGCAUGAGGUCCACGGGCAUCCAUGACACCAGAGUCCAGGACAUCAGCAGAUGGAAACUGAGGUGCCCUGAGUUAUGAAGCUGGGGCCUCAACUGUCUGUCUACGAUAUCAGUGUCCCUUUGAUGUCACCACCUGUGUGACAGCUGGGAGUGUCUGUCGACCUAGCAGAGGUUCGGGCUGCUGUUACCUCCCUCAGCCCCCCUCCAGGACGGCGUGGGGCGGUUAAUGGAUUAUGGGGGUCAGAGUCACUUUCACGCAAAGGCUCUGAGCUGGAGGGGAUUGAGCAGGGGGAUGGGAAUCCAAAGCCAGCCAAUUGGCUCUGAUGCCUUGAAAGCAGCCAAUCCAGGAGAAGCAGAGGGGGAGGCGUGUAAACAUGGGCCAAUCAGAACGGGCAUCUGAAAGAAGCCAAUCACUGUGGGCUGUAGGGGAGGGAAGGCUAGAUAGUGAAGGUUCGGGCCAACCAGAGCAGGCGCAGAGGAGGCACGCACACCAAUCAGAGUGGCUGCUUGGGGGCAACCAGUCUGGUUGGUGGAUGGGAGCCGCAGACUCGAUCAACAUGGGGUCGCGGGCGCAGACAGCAGGGCAGGUGGGAGAGGGGUUCACCCCACCUCGGGACUGAGAAUCUGGGUCUGGAAGUCCGAGAACAUCCGGCUGGAAAGGGAUCUUUGCCAUCUUCUCUAGCUUCUAUUUUACACAUGGGGAAACUGAGGCUUACGGAAGAGACUGGUAGCUCCCCCACGGUGGAGGGUGGUGAGCUAUCGUAAACCAUGAGUGAGCUGAAAUCAAGAGGAAGCAGAAACCAAGAGCUGAGAGAAGCUAUGCAGUGGCAGCUGUGAGGUCAGGUGGGGCAAGGAUGAAAUGUAUAAAAGUUGAAAUCAGAAGGAAACAGAAACCAUCAAUUAGCAAAAGCUUCAGAGAGGCAGUGAAAGUCAGUCAACCGCAAGAGGAGAACAAAGGCAGACGGUAGUGGAGCCACACGAAUAGGGGUCAUCGGAAAGAGCCCCAAGUCCCUGCUGCCUGAGUGUCCCUUGAAGACUCAACAACCUUCCGGCUCCAGCUGUCUGGAUCCUUAAUACAACCCGUUCUUAAAGUCUGUGGCAUUUUGCCUCCCUUAUCGUUCCAUGUGAAUCCUUAUAAUAAACUCCCUAUUAUUUG